GUUGGAUCACCGAAAUCUGGAUGAUCAUUUCUGGUACUUCUAAGCUUGAAUUCUGUGAAACCAGGAGACACAUUCGGUCUAUUCUUUUACUCAGCUGCAGCACAGAACUUCCGACAGAUUUCUUCUGAAUUCACUGUGAAAGCAUUUGGCACUUCUGCAAAACCAUGUGGAAAAUUAAAAAAAAAUAAUUCCAAUAUUAAGGAGGAAAAAGGGCUCCUGAAAAAGUAACUUUGUUUUGAGUGCAAGAUUCAGAAGUGUCUUUGCUGCUGGAUUUCAGGUGACUAUAUAUAGAAAAGAAAUAUUUUACUUGGCUCCCUAAGAUUGUGCAGCCACGUGUCGCACACUGGAACCUACCUCCAAGUACACAGCCUAUUUUAUAUUCUGCAUCCUGGAAAAUGAGCUUUCGCGCAUGCAGGCAGAGCAACUAAUUGACUGGUAAAUACAAAUUUAGGUGUAUAAGGCACAAGGAGCCCAAACCCAACAAACCAUGUUGGGUAAAAAUACCAUGUAUGGGUAAUGGGGUUAUUUUAUAAAUCAGCAGCAAUGAAAGGCAUUUUUCUGUAAAAGGGGAUGCAUGACCACUAAGAGCUUCUUAGCUAUAAAGCUUUACUUUAAUUAUAUGCCAAAAAAUUAUGGCAUAAUACCAACAGAUGCACCCUGCAGCUUUUCUUCCUUGUCCUGUCUGUAAUCCAUGUAGUCUGUUUAAAGAAUAAACCUCUUCAAUGUCAUCCUGCCCAACAGCAUUCAGGUCAUCUCAGCUAAUGAAGUAAACUCUUGGAAGAAGUUACUGCUCUCAAAACUAAGGGGUAAUUCCAGUCCCAUGAUGCAUUUUUCGCUAGUAGUUUCAAUAGGCUCAAAACCCAUCGGCAUCUUUCCAUGAAUUGAACAUCAUAAGGCAGAUAUGCGAUGAAAACCAGAAUCUAAAUAAAAUGCAUAUUUUUGGCUAAAGUCUGUCCCAACUGCAAUCAAUAUCCGAACUUCUCGUGAUUCACAGGAUCUGGAUUUCACUCACAACAUUUAACUAUCCUUCCCUUAUAUUUCAAUAUAGAUCCAGAGUGAGGUGCAAAAAGAAAACCGUCAGUAUCUAUGGCACUAUCCUACCCAAAAUCUUUCACAGGAAGCUGGGUGUGCCUGCAAGAAAAGCACAGAGAACAAAGAUAGCAUUUCAACUAGAGAGAAAAAAAAAAGUCAGUGUCCUAAAUGCACUAUAGAUUAAAGCUAUCAAGAAGGAAACACACAAAAUACAAAUCUGUCUGUGACACCACCCCAGAAAUGUUAGGGAUUUUCUAAGUACUUUCAUGACUGCCAGUGGGCUUGGAGAAAAGAUCAACAGCCUGCCGCUACACAACAACUGCGUUAAAAUGGUCAGGAAAAAGCACAACCUAGUGGUUAAAGCAGAAGACUGGGCCGUGGGACUCCAGAGUUAGGACCUCUGUGGUAUCAUCCUCUUGCCAUGUGGCCCUGGCCAAGGCCAAAGUAACCCUGAGGGAUGAGAUUUGCUACAGGUUUGCUUUGGUCUGAAAAAACGCGGAAAGAUUAUGAAGUUCGCACUCAGAGAACCUAAAUAAUACCUGCCUAGCUGACACAAAAAAGCCUGAAAUAAUAAUGACCUGCAUAGAAUAAACCCGUACUGUGUGUGGAUGCCGUAGAGAGCAAUGAUUUUCAGCAGUCCCUACAGGGAUGGUUUGAAGUCUUUAGGUAGUUUAGGUCUCAAACUGCUACAGGCAUGAGAUGCUGAGCUCACUUAGGCACUCUAAAAAUCCUAAUAGGCAACGGUUUCAAUUACCAACCUAAAAUCUUUAAAUUAGUAAAUGUCAGUCAACGUUGGAGUGCUCAAUACCUCUAAAAAUCAGGUCCUAAGUAUUUCUAUCAGGAAAUUGAACCAACAUAGGUAACGGAGAACACUUUGAAGAAAUGUUUUUUGCCUUUGCUCUAUAGCAUCUAAAAUCAGGAGACCAAGGAGCAUCCCUCAGUCUUAGGGCUGACUUGCCCUGGGACACACUGGGGUAUCAUUUGUGAUAAGCUGCAUAGAUGCUCUCUCCACUGACUGUGUGGUAAGUCUGGAAUUGGUAUCCCCUAACAGUUGGUAGCCUGAAUCAUUUUUAUUUAGUCAAAACAACCCUCUGCUUUUGUUUAUUCAUGCAUUACCCUCAGACAGAAGUUGUUACUCUGCAAUUCCCUCCAGCAGUGACCAGUUAGAAGGGAAAGAAAACAGAGCAGUUUGCAGAGUGGCGACACUGUGAAACCUGUGCUGCACGCCCUGCACUACCUGCCAUGCACAGAGCUGCUGGGUGCUUGUCCUGUUUCGCCACGCUUCACUUCAGCUUGUUACACAAAUGGUUAAAAUCUUGUAAAUCAGUAAUAAGUUGCACCUGAACCUGUAAGUGAUUAGUAAAAAAUCAUUACACUUCCAUGGCCAGAGGACUUUCACACAGUUAAUCAGUUAAGAAAAGAACUGGGUGUUAACUGGUUGUUUAAUUCUCUGCAAGACCAGUUUAUUGAGACCCCAUAGCAAGAGGACUGAAAUCUGAAGUGCAAACAUCAUAUGGGAGAUUAUAUUGCUUACAAAUGGCAUACUCCUCUAGAGAAACAGGUGCCAAAUGUUGCUCUAAAGUGAGCUGAAUGGAGGAAUUCUGAGGCUGAGCAGGUGCUGUUCGUGCUUUCAGUUAUUUCAUCCAUUUGAUUCCUGUUCAAAUCUAUUGGAAAUCAAUGAGUUAAGUUUUCUAGACACCUUCACCAUGAAACAGGAAACUGGGGAUAUGUGAUAUAUGCAAACACACACGCAGGAGCUUUCUCAUCCUGGGUUGUUGACUGGAACAGCAAGAGAAAGAGUAAUUUUUACUCCAGAGUGUGAUUUCCUGUUUGCUUGAUGGAUUUCAGUAUUUAGUCAUCAAUUUUUUAUCAGAAGAUUUUAAGAUAGGCACAAACCCUGCCCACAUACAUUGACUGGAGGAAGAAUUCACAUCAGCUGGUGAUCUGGAAAAUGCACCCUCAGGCAGAAUUUCAUGCUCUUUCCCUCCCGCCCUCUUAGGAUUCAGCACAUCACCAUAGGAAGCCUUUGGAGCUCAUCUGGAGGCUCAGUCUCUCUUAUGUAAAAAAGCUUUAAGUUAGAGGAGUUGCAUCUCAGUCACUGCAUGAGUGCAAUGGGAAGAGACACCCCACUGAGCUAGGGUGCUUCGUUAAAUUUCAAGCUUGGAACCCUUUUCCUGCCCCAUCCAUAGCGCUGCACAUACUGAAACUGAAGCCAAGGGAUGGUGCUCAGGGUGGCACCCAGCGCCAGGCACUGUCAACCCCGUUCACAGGUUACCUGACAAAGGACUGGCACUGAAUAUUAAUACUGACACCACCGGGAAUUAUAUGAAUAUGAAGCAAAAUACUUGUAUUAUUAAAUUUGCUGAGAUUAUUAUUAAAAUCCUGUUUAUUUAUUUAUUAGAUAAAGCCUUUAAGUCUGUUUAUUAACUACAUGUAAGGCAUAAAGGGACUGCAAUGAGAUGUGAUAACUUUAUGCAGUCCUUCUAUGAGUGUCAGCAGCCACUUCGGAAAGCAUACCUUGAAAGUGGAAAACUAGAUCAGCCUGGGUGUGAUGAGGAACUCCAGGCCACCGUGGAUUUGGUUUGUAGUAGCUUUCCAUAACAAAGUCUUUUUUUAACUGACUUUCUUUCUGCUCAAAUAUAUUUAGAUAUGACUUUCAUUUUGCAGUACUCUGAUGCCAGAUAGUUUUGGCUGAAAUUGUACGGGAAGAGACACAUGUUUGAGUCAUGCAGUUGGCUCUCUCUAGUUGAUAGAAAGUUACUGAGAAAAGAUGAAGUUUGUAUUUAGUUUUAGUUAACAUGCAAUGAGACCAAGUAAAAUAUUCCAAGUGGAAUACGCACAUAAUAAAUAAAUAUACAAAAACUUAUACCAGAAAGGGAUGGAGUUCAUUUUCUUAAACCACAUUCAUUGGCUAAACCAACCCAGAAAUAUUAGGCUGAUGGAUUGAACCUCAAGAAACACGAUACAAGAGCCUUCAUUUUGUCACUCCUAGCUCUCGCUCUAACCCUGCAGCAGCUGCUUCUGCUGCAAAGCACAAGGGUGAACUGUGCUCGCAUCUAUUCUCAUGUGCAUGGUAUGGACCUUAUGAAUUUGGUACAUAAGUGCUGAGAUAAGCAAUGCCAUUUGGUACUGAGACAUAUUUCUAUUAGAUUAAAAACAGCAAAACCAAAGGAGGUUGGCAAUGAUCUUUUUCUUACAGUAGUUUGCACCUCAUGGUUUAAAAGCUUAUGAAAUUGGUAACAGAUACCACAAUGCCUCUAAAAUAGUAACUGCCGGCAGGAAAAGCA